rfam:Oryza rufipogon genomic scaffold, chr05
AAAAAAACAAACCCUGGAUUUCCGUGUCCAACGUUUAACCGUCCGUUUUAUAUGAAUUUUUUUUUAUAAUUAGUAUUUUCACUGUUGUUAGAUGAUAAAACAUGAUUAAUACUUUAUACGUGACUUAUCUUUUUAAUUUUUUCAUAAUUUUUUUUAAAUAAGAUGGACAGUUAAACAUUGGACACGGAAACUAAGGAUUUGUCUUUUU